UCUUCCCCUGUCCUUCAUGCGUAACUCGUAAGGUAGAUGAACAACUGUUUAAAUUUUGAUUUGUCAUCAUAUCUAUCGGGUUAUGCAUAAUAUGUAUUGGGCUUCUUCUACUCUGUUUUGGCGAUUGUGUGUUUCUUGGUUCAGAUUCUAUGCUCAGAUUUUUUGUUUGUUUUUCAUCAAAUUCAAGUAUGUACUCUAACUGUUUGAUAAUAUCACUCAAACAAAAACCGUCCAUAUUUAUCAUUCCAUUUUGCAAUCGCAAAAUCUCUAAAUAUUGGAAUCUUUCUAUUUUGGCAGAAUUGUGAAAUUAAAACCUCAGGCUAAGAAGUCCGCCAUGAAGGGUCGAUGCAACUCAAAAAGAUAGCAGGACCCCUUUGAAAGUCAUACUUGCAUUAUGAGAAGUAGGGGAGAGCGUGGGCCGGUUCGGCUCGGUUUUUCGAUAAAACCGGAACCGCAACCAUAUAUCCUCGGUUUUUGAAAUCGAAAACCGCAACCGCCGGUUCGGAUUCGGUUUCGGUUUAAAAAUCCCGGUUCGGUUAUAAUCGGCUCGGUUUCGGUUACAAAACCGACUACAAAAUUCACUUGGUACUUAUUGCCCAGACAUCAGUCGAAAGAAUUAUUUUAGGAUUUCACACCAUAUAAUCAGAGAGUGCUCCAGUUUAAGAAUUUUCAGGGGCAAUCUGUGUCCUGUGAUUAUUACCUCUCUAAUGUGUAGUGUGCCAAGCAUCAUGACUUGGGUAAUAUUAGCAACAGUAGAAGAUAAAGAUUUCUGACAGAACACAAAAGAGCUGCAUAUAAGAAUUCAUGUG
rnacentral:lncRNA from 1 species